rnacentral:lncRNA from 1 species
CUAAAGGGUUAAGCAUUCUUAACACACUCAAGUGUUUUUUUUUUCUGCAUGAGACAAACAAACAAAAUCCUUAAGAGUGUUUUUCUUGGGUUACAAAGUUAUGUUAAAUAAAAAUAAAAAUGGAGGGAAAACCUUUGCUUCUGAGCCAAUGGCCCACACCAGCUCAAGAAAACUUAUAAAGACCGAUUCUGGAAAUGUCAGAAAUGAAGCUUGAGCUUUAUUUCCUUGUAAGCAUGACUCAGCACAUGCAGACAAUCAUCUAUUACCUACGUAACCUGCUCUGAUCAUCCUAAAAGGAAAGAUACUGUAAAAUAACCAAUGAGAAUCAAGAUGUAUGAACUUCUUUUUUUCCGUUUUUUAAACCUUAACUAUAACCUUUAGGAGAUGAGCUUCUUGCCAUUUUCUAUUUUGGAGUCUCUGUUCUGGAAUAGUGUGUUCUCAAUAAAAUAUUCAUGUCAAGUAAAA